AAGGAUAUGAUGAUCCUUUCCCCAAAUGAUCGACAAUGAAUAAUCUGUGCGACUUUUUGUUAUUGUCUCGUAUGAGAUGAUAUCCAAGCCAGAGAUCUGAUCCUU
rfam:Zostera marina strain Finnish scaffold_95, whole genome shotgun sequence.